CGAGAAAUUGCGGCCCAUUAUUUAUUGAUCAUCAAGUAACUGCAAGACUCAAAGAAAUUCUACUCCAAGUAAUCUUCUUCUUCCUAAAUGGACUUAGUCAACAUAUUUGUUAGAUUGUCGUCAAUAUGAAUUGUCUACAAUAAAAAUUUUCCAUCAUUUACUAUAUAUAGACAAAGUGAUACUGAACAUCAAUAUACUUAGUCCCAUCAUACAAAGUUGUAUUCUUUGCUAAAAUCAAAGUAGUGUAAUUAUCACAAUGAAGCAGUAUCCCUUCUUUCAUCUUCUACUUUAUCAUCGACAAAGUGAUAUUGAACAUCAAUAUACUUAGUCCUAUCAUACGAGGUUGGAUUCCUUUUUAAAAUCAAAGUACUGUAGUUAUCACAAUGAAGCAGUAUCCCUUAUUUCAUUACUCAAAACUCACCAACUUGAUUACCCAAAUCGACUCUUUAGAUACAUAAGUGACAUAUACUCGGCUUUUGUAGGAGACAUACACCAUAAACUGCAACCUCAAUAACUAACCAAAUCUAAAAAGAUUUACCUUUCUUAUGUAAUAGGAUCUUCUCAAGCCUAAGGCUAUCACUAGAUAAUUAAAAAUAUUAAGUUCCUUACAACUAAUAAACAGGAGUCAUGUACUAACAUUCUCCCACUUGAAGGCAUUAUUUCUAUUCUGACUAGGCUGCUACAAGAAUUCUUUGCCUGCUAUUUACUAAUCAUCAAAUAACCACAAGACCUUAUGAAAUUUUAUUCCAAGUGAACUCCCUCUUACUAAAUGGGCUUAAAGACAAUGUAUUUACUAGAUUGUCGUCAGUAUAAAUUUUCUAUAGUAAAUUUAUUUCAUCUUCUACCACACCAUGGACAAAAUUAAUACUAAAUAUCAAUAUGCUUAGUCCUAUCAUGCAAAGUUGGAUUACUUACUGAAACCAAAGUACUCUAGUUAUCACAACGAAGCAGUAUCCCUUCUUUCACAACUCCAAACUCACCAACUUGAUUAGUCAAAUUGGUUUUUUAGAUGCAUGAGUAAGUAACAUAUACUCAGCUUUUGUAGAAGACAUGCACCACAAAUUGCAACCUCAAUAACUAACUAAUUGCACCACCACUCAAACAUAAAAAACACACCCGAUAGUAGACCUUCUUUUAUCUAAUUCACUUGCAAAAUCUACAACAACAUAACUUGCAAUUCUCAAAUCCUUCAUACUAAAAUGAAUACUAGCAUUACAAAUUCCCUUUUAAUAACUAAGGAUUCUCUUCACAGUAGUCUAGUGAUCAUGGCCAAGAUUUUCUAUGUACGUGCUCAUAACUCUCACUGCUUAUGUUGUAUCAUGCCAAGUACUGACCAUAACAAACUAAGGCUCCCUACAAUUAAUGGAUACAACACUCGAGACAUCUAUGUAUUCUAUGCUUCAAUGCUAGGACAUUGUUUCAAAUAUAGCCUCAUAUGCACAAAAGGUAGGGUAUUAAUAGGUUUAGCAUUAUGCAUAUUGAAGCAUAGCAGAAUCUUUUCUCCAUAACACUUCUAAAUUAACCAAAUUCUUCUAUUGUUUCUAGUCUCUAAAUACACUCAACCCUAUAAUUUGAUUAACCGCUCUCAAAUCUUUCCUCUCAAAUUCCUAGCCAACGAAGCUUACGUGUUGCAACAUUCUCUUUAUUUGGCCUUACAACAAUCAUCUCAUCAACAUACAAAAACAAUAUAUUAAAGUUUAUAUAACAAUAACCGCAAAAAUAAGCACAAUGUUCAUAUCUAUGGAUUUAUACCAACACCUUGGAUUCUUUUAUAAUCUAUACAAUGAUUUAUUGAGCAAACAAACCAAAUUCUCUUUAUCUUCAUCUAUAAAACCUUUAGGUUAGGUCAUAAAAAUUUAUUCUUUAAGUCACCAUCUAAGAAAGUAGUUUUCACGUAUAAUUAUUCCAACUCUAAAUUAAGAACAAUCGCCAUAGCUAAAACAACUCAAAUAGUAGUCACAUGCACAAGUUUUCCCAACCAAACGAGUUUUGUACCUUUUAGCAAUAUCAUUAGAACAUUUCUUCUUUAUAAAGACCUAACUGCAACUAAUUGCUUUCGCCCGUCUGGUAAUUCAACUCGGUUCCAUAUUUUAUUUUUCUACAAGGCCUCCAUCUUCUAUUCCAUGGAUGCUCUCCAUUGACCGACUGCGUCAACCUCAUAUGCCUGACAAUAAGAAAUUGGCUUGUUUUUUAAUAGGCUCUUGGUCCUGAUCACCAUCUCGCUAGUUCUUAUGGUGCAUUUCACCUCAACAAUUUUAGUAUCUGGCUCACCUUUCUUUCUCUACACUGAAUUUUCAUUGAAAAUAAUAUCUAAGCUAACUAUAAUCUUACAAUAAGUAUGAUUCCACAAUCUAUACUCCUUGUUACCAUCUACAUAGCCAAAAAAAUGCAUUUUUUGGAUGUUGCAUCUAGCUUAGAUCUCUUCUCCUUUGAAAUCUAACAAUAUGUGUCGCACUCAAAAGUACAAAGGAAAAAAUAAUCACUUGAUUUACCUAUUCAAACCUCUUCUCAUAUCUUGUAAUCAAUAGCAGUGCUUGGAAGACCUGUUGAUCAGAAAACAAGUUGUACAAAUUGCUUCUAUCAAAAACACUAUUCUAACUCAACAGUUCUCAACACAUUCUUGACACGUUCCAUAAUGGUAAUUGUGAUGAGUAAUGCUUUGAUUACAAGUUGUUAUUAUUAAUAAAAAUGCAGUUUAACCAUUUUCGUCUCACCUUAUGGGUUGGAUACAGAGUAAGGGCUCAUACUUUGGGACCUUAUUUUCGAGCAACCUACAAAUCUCUACUCUCCUUCAAGCAUCAUUGGUGACAUCCAGCCAUAAAUAGGCUAAUUCUCUCUAAAAGAAAUACUUGUAUGUCAACUUUUUUUGGUAUAUAAGUGAGAAAGGGGUUAUCCUACUUAUAGUAGACAUGAAACUCAAGACUUCAUGUUGUAGCACCCAUCACCCUAACCAACUAAGGGUUGAGUCCAUUUCUAAUACUUGUAUAUUAUAAAUUACUGAAUCUGUCAUGAUUUAUAAUAAAGAAGCCUAAGAAUAAAAAACCAUUUUGAAAUAGAUGCUUCUUUAUUAAUUACCUUUGUCCCUCAAAGUCCAACUAGAAUUUAGAAACUACCUACAAUUACUUCUUAUUACUACAUGGUUUUAGUAUGAGUAAUCAUUUACCUGAAUUUUUUUAGUAGGAAUGACAAAUAAAAAUUUGUCAUGAGCCGGGGUUGCACAAUGGUUAAAUAUGGCCAUUACUUCCCAAUAUUGCUUGCAAAAUAUUUAGGACUAGUUUGGAGAAAUCAAUUUCUCGGCUAUUUGUUUCCUCAACAAUUUAGAAUAAAAAAUGGCCCAACUCGGUCUGCUCUACCGAACAAGCAACCGAUAAUCAAUGAAAUGGCGAGCCAAAAAUUCCAUGGCGCUUGUGAUCCUCAAAAAAAAAAAAAAA